rnacentral:rRNA from 1 species
UGGGGAAUAUUGCACAAUGGGCGCAAGCCUGAUGCAGCCAUGCCGCGUGUGUGAAGAAGGCCUUCGGGUUGUAAAGCACUGUCAGCGGGGAGGAAGGCGUUAAGGUUAAUAACCUUGGCGAUUGACGUUACCCGCAGAAGAAGCACCGGCUAACUCCGUGCCAGCAGCCGCGGUAAUACGGAGGGUGCAAGCGUUAAUCGGAAUUACUGGGCGUAAAGCGCACGCAGGCGGUCUGUCAAGUCGGAUGUGAAAUCCCCGGGCUCAACCUUGGAACUGCAUUCGAAACUGGCAGGCUAGAGUCUUGUAGAGGGGGGUAGAAUUCCAGGUGUAGCGGUGAAAUGCGUAGAGAUCUGGAGGAAUACCGGUGGCGAAGGCGGCCCCCUGGACAAAGACUGACGCUCAGGUGCGAAAGCGUGGGGAGCAAACAGG